GGGGAAGGGCUGUGGAGCCCCGCGCCUGUUCCCAGGCUGUUUCCGUCCCCCUGUGUCCUCACCACGUAGCGAAAAUGAAACCGCGAGAGAUGAAGUUCAACUCAACUGCUAAGUAGCUGAGUCAGAAUUUGACCCCAAGCCAGAUGAUCUUUGUUAUGGGGUAUAUGGAGAAAAAUAACACCGAAAGGCCUGAAUGCGUCAAAUUGUGGGCCAGUACAAUCUUGUUUCCGGCACUGUUGCUGUUCUGGGGCCUGAAGCAUGUAGGGACAAGGUGCAGCUAGGGGCUUGAGAACCACCAACCUUGAGACAUGCAUUCUGCUUGUUUGUUUGUUUGUUUGUUUGUUUAGGGGUUUUGUUCGAGACAUGCUCUCAACUCAGCUGUCCAAGAGCCCACUAUACAGAGGAUGACCUUGGCUGUCUGAUUCUUCGGCUUCUGCCUCAUGCUGGGGUUGCAGGCUUGUGUUUUAGAGUUCUUCUUAGAGAUGGAAUUAUGUGGGAGAACUGUGCUUGGUGCCGGACAUGGCAAUGUCUCCACGAAAUGAGAUUCUCUUCUCAAUUGCUACAUUCUAGUUGGACAGAGAACAAGUAGCUCCACUGCAUUUCCUCUUGAGGAAGUACGUGGUAAGCUCAGAACUACCGUCCUGCAGAAGAUGCACACCAGCCUAGGAGUCUGUCCCACAGAACAGAGGGAACCAGGUCUCUAGGUAAACUGGGAAGGUAGGGUAUGCUGAAGAUACAGAGGCAGAAGGAUUACAUGAGUGAGGCCAGCCUGGUCUACACCGGGGCUGACAAGAUGGCUCAACAGGAAAAAGCGCUUGCCACGUAAGCCCGACAAGCUGAUGUCUACACCUGAAUUCUACACCUGAGCCCAUGGUGGAAAGGAGUCGACCAACUCCCUCAAGUCGUUGUGACGUGACUGAGACCUGAGUCACAAGCCUGGAAGCAGCAGAGCUGGAACGUCAAGCCCCCUUCUCUCUCUCCUCUCUUCCUCUAUCUCCCCCUCUCCAGGCUCUCUCCUUGCUAUGUAGCCCAGGCUGGCCUUCCCACACACAUUCUUCUGUGUCUCUUCCUUUCAUCUUGCUAUGUGGUAUCAGGCUGGUCUUGAAUUCAUGGCAGAAUGCACGGCAAACCCUAAACUCGACCAGCUUCCUGGUCUUGCUGCAGGCUUUCUCCCUCCCCACCUUUAUUCCACCCAGGCUGCAGCCAUGGUGGUGCUGUACUCAGGGUAGCACCCUCAGAGCUAGUCACCUCUGGAAACAGGCCUCACAGACACACCAGAGCGCACUUUUCUACUGUCCCGUGUGCUUCCAGGAUAUGAUGAAAUUGACCAUUACACAUGGGUGUACUGUUUCACAUCUGUGACCCCAACACUCAGAAGGAGGCUGAGGCAGGAGGAUCACAGUGAAUCUGAGGCCAACCUUGCCUAUACACACUGAGUUCCAGUCCACCUUGAGCUGUGUAGCUACAAAAUAAGACUUUCUCAACACCUCCCCUGUCCUUCAAAAGGAUCAAGCACUGCGGAACGUGAACACUUUAUAAACUCACAAGGACUGAUGAGAGGCAUCUACUUCUGAGGUUUAAAAUGCAUGUCUUACACUGGAGCAUCAGGGAAAUCAGGGCAUCUCUUAGGGCCCAGGACAUCUCAGAAUCAGAGAAAUACAGUCGGGGAAGCAAGCAGCUAUCAGAUGGGCAGAGAACUGACUCCUGAUCAAUAGCACCCUGAACUGGCAGGGUGUGCGGAGAGGGCUUCAGAGACAGGAGACAGCCUGGGAGGAAUCGAUUAAAAUGGAAAGCACAACACCCUUGACCUUUCCUAGAAACUGACCCUGAUGCCCAUGGCAUUCAGGAGCAAAGCCAAGGUCCUCUAUAGUUUCUAGUCCCUGGGCCUGAAAAUGAUCUCAUCCCAUGACCAGUAGGUGGGUCUGAAGAACGAAGGUAGUUAUGGGAAAGUGGCUGGGUUCAGAGAGUGCUUGCUGUGUAGACACCAGGACCGGAGUGAGGGUGAUCCCCAGCUCCCAUACACAAAGCCAGCCUGCCUGUAAUUCCAGCAUUGGGGAGACCCUGAAAGAAGCAUCCUUGGGUCCUGAACAGUCGGCCAUGUUCUGUAAGAGAUCUGGUCUCAAAAAAUAAGGUAGGCAGAAAGGAAGACACCAGACACCGGACAUUGACCUCUGGCACACACACAUGCACUUGUGUGUGCAUCUGUGCACGUGCGCAAACACACACACACACACACAACCUUCCCUACAUAUACAUAUAACUGUACAGGUGGACUGCCAGGGUGGCAGCACAUUCUAUAAUCCCCGUACUUGAGAAGCAGAUAAAUGAGGACUGCUGCAAAUUCAAGGCCAGUCAGGACUACAAAGUCUUUCAAAAACAAGACUGGUUCAUUCCCCACUGCCUCCACCCAUAUUUUACUUUAUAGGUGUGAGUGUUAGUGUACAUGUAUGUCUACACACCAUGUGCAUGCAGUACCCAUGCAGGCCAGAAGAGGGUGCAGGAUCAGUGCUGACAGAAGGUAGGAGAGGGUCCCUGGGACUGGAGUUACGGAGGAUUGUGAGCUGCCCUGUGUGUGCUGAGAAUCAAAGCCAGGGCUUCUAAAAGAGCAGCCAGUGUUUUUAACCAUCUCCCCAGCCCCCAAGAUGGGUCCAUUUUAAAAUUGGAAUACUACAUACACAUCGCUAAAAAGAACUAAGAAAUCUUCUGACCGUCAAAUAUAAUAUUCUCUAAAAGAUGUUCUGUGAGAAAAGGGAAGGCAGAGAUCCACCCCGCUGUUCAUUGGUGAUGUCUUCUUAGAGAGGGAGGGAAAGGAGGGGACAGGCAGGCAGACUCCUGUGUUCAUACAGCAGACAUCACAGUUUAUCAAAGCGAUGGCCUUUGAGGGGCCACCCUUGCAGAGGAGCAACGUUUGCUGCUGAAGGACAGGUAUGGCGGUAUAUACCUUUAAUCCCAGCAUCCUGCAGAGUCAAGUAGAUGUCUCUAAGUUUGAGGUCAGCCAGGGCUACAGAGUGGGACCCUAUUUAAAAACAACAACAACAACAACAACAACACACACACACACAGAGCAAGCAUAUCAUGUGUGCCUUGAGAGAGAACCCGACCGGGGGCUUGGGAAACUGAAAUCUCUGGCUGCAUCAGGCCUCCAAGCCUGUUCAGGCCUUAGGCGUUGCAGGCUGUCUGGUCUUUGCUAUACACACCCAGCCCCUUGAAGCUGGGAGGAAAUGAAUGGCUGAAACAGAUGACAGUGCAUUUUACAAGGACACUGAACACUGCACCGUGAACUGUAACCUGCUCCUUGCCUGCUGUCAUUUGGAGAACGCGGUAGACUGGAUGGGACCCUGCUGGUCUUCCUACCUACAGCUCAUGGUUUGCACCGUUGUGAGGGGGGCCUGGGAGGUUUGGGUUUCAUCUGAGGGGGUGGGAGUUACAGGUGGGAAGAGGCACAUACCUAGCUCCCCUCAAGAGUUUGGCACAGAAGGUGCCUGACCGAAGUCCACUCCAAAGCCAGGUUUGCCCUUUGCAUCACUGACCUGACCCUGUCACCAGAUGGCAGCACAACCCUGGCUCCCUCCGCCCACCUCCUAGACACGCACUCCACAACCGCCCUUAUUUCCAGGUCUCUUUUUGCUGUUGAGGGGCUUAUUAAAGUACCAACCAGGCUGCCCUUGAACUCCUUCUGUCUAGAACUCUCAAAACUCUCUACCUUGGUCUCCAGAAUAGUUAGAGUCGUAGGCUCGCCACCACGCCUGGCCUCAUCUCCUAUCCCUAAGGGACUGCCAAAUGCUAACACUUCCUCCUUCAGUGGUCGUGGUUGUAGUGGCCAAUGUUGACUAACAUCAAGGACAAUGAAUGUUUUUCAGAUUAUUGUCAUUUUGUGUCCUCAAGCCCCCUUCUCCCUCCAUUAUUAAUACUGCAGAAAUCAGCCUAAGAGCUGUUGUUGAUUUCUCUCUCUCCCCUCCCUCCCUCUCUCUUUCUUUUUUUUUCCCCAAGACAGGGUUUCUCUGUAGACGAGGCUGGCCUUGAACUCAGAAACCUGCCUGCCUAUAGCUCCCAAGUGCUGGGAUUAAAGGCGUGCGUCACCACCGCCCAGUUUGUUUAUCUCUUAAUAAAGACAGGUUCUUAUAUAGUCCAGGUUGGCUUCAAACUUGCUAUGUAGCCAAAGAUGAACUUGACCCUCUAUAAUCUUCCUAUCUUCACCUUCCAAAUGCUGGGAUUACAGGCUUGAAUCAACAGGCCUGGAGCCACAGACAGCCUGACCAGAUACACACCAGAAUGUGUGUUCACUACUAAAUCCUGGUGCCUUGGAAAUGCUUGUCCAUCAGGUGGCCCGGGGCUUCGCGACAGCUGCUCUCCUCACUUCUGUGCUGGCUGGUCUUGCUGAUCACCCCAGCAUCUAACUGCAAGUCUGCACCUGCCCCAGGGCCUUUGUACCUUGUGAAACUGCACUGUGAGCUGGGCAUGGUGGCGCAAGCUUUGAUUCCAACACUGGGAUCAAAGGUGAAUCUCGGGAGUUCAAGACCAGCCUGGUCUACAGAGCAAGUGCCAGGAUAACCAGAACUAUAUACGGAGACCCUUGCCUCUUGAAAGAACAAAGUAUUAAAACAAACAAAAAAAUAUAAUAAAGAAGUUGUAGUA